rnacentral:misc_RNA from 1 species
GCUAAACAUCAGAACUAAUAAAAUACAGUUCAUGAGAAAAAUUUUGUUUUGUUCAAAUCAAAUAUGCAGUGAAGGACAAAGAAAAGGCAGGAUAUUGUACAAGCAUAUGAUAUCACAAAAAUCAAAACCGUUCAAAAGGGAAUGGACUUAACAAUGAUUCUUCAAGUUCACGAAAACCUCGAUAAACAGCUUCAGUUUGAUUUUGUGGAAGAGGUAAUCUUCGCACUUCUGUCAUAUAUCGAUUUGCUGCACUUGUUAUUUUAUCGCGAACACCUUGAUUACCAACUGCAGUCUGUCCUAAUGAUAAAGUUCCACCAAGAAUCAGAGAGGCUCCAGUAACACUUGUACCCAUUCUCCUGCGCUCCGUACUGGCUUUACUUCGUGAAUGGGCACUU